rnacentral:rRNA from 1 species
AGCGAACGCUGGCGGCAGGCCUAACACAUGCAAGUCGAACGAACUCUUCGGAGUUAGUGGCGGACGGGUGAGUAACACGUGGGAACGUGCCUUUAGGUUCGGAAUAACUCAGGGAAACUUGUGCUAAUACCGAAUGUGCCCUUCGGGGGAAAGAUUUAUCGCCUUUAGAGCGGCCCGCGUCUGGUUAGCUAGUUGGUGAGGUAACGGCUCACCAAGGCGACGAUCAGUAGCUGGUCUGAGAGGAUGACCAGCCACACUGGGACUGAGACACGGGCCAGACUCCUACGGGAGGCAGAAGUGGGGAAUCUUGCGCAAUGGGCGAAAGCCUGACGCAGCCAUGCCGCGUGAAUGAUGAAGGUCUUAGGAUUGUAAAAUUCUUUCACCGGGGACGAUAAUGACGGUACCUGCAGAAGAAGCACCGGCUAACUACGUGCCAGCCGCCGCCGUAAGAC